rnacentral:rRNA from 1 species
UACGUAGGGGGCUAGCGUUGUCCGGAAUCAUUGGGCGUAAAGAGCGCGUAGGCGGCCAGAUAAGUCCGGUGUGAAAGUCAAAGGCUCAACCUUUGAAUGCCGCUGGAAACUGUCUGGCUAGAGUCCGGGAGGGGCGAGUGGAAUUCCUGGUGUAGCGGUGAAAUGCGUAGAUAUCAGGAGGAACACCUGUGGUGUAGACGGCUCUCUGGACAGUAACUGACGCUGAGACACGAAAGCGUGGGUAGCAAACAGG